CCAUCAAUCCUACUCAUUGGGAAACAUUUUGGCACAUUGUAUCACAUAAUUUGUUGAUCUGCACAAACUACUGAAAACAUUUUAAUUUACAGCUUAACUAGAAUAUUCAGCAUCUAGCAGUUGUGGUGCCACCUCUGAAAAUCUAAUGGCUGACCAGGUGACCAGCUAAAGGAAAUAAAUAUACGGUCAGUUUCGAUAGAACCAGAUAUGUCCAUAGAAGCUAUUGCAGGUAUUAAAAUCGGAAUGUUCUCAGUAUUGUUCAUGCCCCCUGAGUCAGUCAGAUUAAAGUUGUGAAGAGAAAUACUCCUUAGUGGUAGCAUGCAGAAGAGGGUUUGUUUGCUAGCAUGUGAUGAGGCACAUUGUAUACCUGAGUGGGGAGGAGAUUUUAGACCUGCAGGAGGUGCUACACAUGCGAAGUAUGUUGGUAGAUGUGCUUGUUCUGGCAGCAACAGCAACAUACGAUGAAAUAUAUUUCUUGACAUUAGGGAAUCCAAACAGGAUCAUGAAAAAAAAUUGCAAUGGCUUAUCGAGAGAUGAUAUUUGUUUGAAGAAAAUAAUUGUAUA